rnacentral:rRNA from 1 species
UACGGAGGGUGCGAGCGUUGUCCGGAAUCAUUGGGCGUAAAGGGCGCGUAGGUGGCCCGGUCAGUCCGUGGUGAAAGCGCGGGGCUCAACCCCGCGUCGGCCAUGGAUACUGCUGGGCUGGAGCACUGUAGAGGCAGGCGGAAUUCCGGGUGUAGCGGUGGAAUGCGUAGAGAUCCGGAAGAACACCGGUGGCGAAGGCGGCCUGCUGGGCAGUGCUGACACUGAGGCGCGACAGCGUGGGAGCAACAGGAUAG